CAUAAAUUUGAUUGCACAAAAGUUACUGCUCUCUGCAUACACAUAAUUGUAAUUUCAGCCACUGAACCCUCUGAAAGGAAAAAGGCAUCACUGUGUGAAGCCUGGACAGAUGAAACUGUAGCAGAAACUGCUCUCAAAGCCAAGUGGCACCAACAUCAGCUCUGCAAGUCACACUCUUGUUGAUCUGCGUACAAUGUGCAUGUCUCACCUGCAGAAAUGAGGCUGUGGACAGCAAAUGUGAACCUGUGAAUCCGGAACAGAAACCACACAGCGAAAGGCAACCUGGAGAACGGGAGAAAAUGCACGUAAAUCACAAAUCAGAUGAGAGAUUACUUUCUGGAAUAUACAAGGAACUCAGAUAACUCAACAGCACCAGAACCACUAACUAACUGGAUUGUAAUGUGAGCAAAUGAUCUGCGUAAAUGUUUCACCAAAAAAGACAUACAAAUGGUUCAUAGAUGAAAAGAUGAUCAACAUCACUUAUCAUAGGGGUGCAAAUCAAAAUCAUUGUGAAAUACCACUUCAUGCUCAUUAUAAUUGUCACUCUCAAAAAAAAAAAAACCAGAAAAUAACACACCUUGGUGAGCAUAUGGAGGGACUGGACCCCUUGUGGAUCAUUGAUGGGAAAAUAAAAGCAUAGCUGCUGUGGAAGACAGGAUGGUGGUGCCUCAAAACCAAGAAACAGAAUUACUACACGAUUCAGCAAUUCCACAUUUAGGGCCAUCCAAGAAAAUAAAAAACAAUGUCUUGGAAAAAUAUUCGAAUAUUUACAUUCACAUCAGCAUUAUUCACAAUAACCAAAAGGUGCAGGCAAUCUAAGUGUUCAUCAGUGAAUGACGGAAAGACACACCGUGGCAUCCACACGCCAUGGGAUAUUUAUUUGGUCUUAAAAAGGAAAGAAGUUCUGACAGAUGCUACAGUAUAGAUGACCCUUCAGACACUGUGCCAAGACCACUUCAAAAAGCCAAACACCAUAUGAUUCCACUUCUGGGGGCACGGAAGGGGGCAUCUCCGAUAAACAGAUUCAUGGAAAUAGAGGUAGAAUGAAGGCAGGCAGGAGAGCUCCGGGAAGCCAUGUGAUGGCCUGAGAGCUUCAGGCCUUUUAAGAAGAAAAGCAUUCAAGACUGGUUGCAAAACACUGUGAGUGCACACAUCACACUGCCAAAUUGUAAAGGAAAAAGGUGCAGGGGGUAAGCUGUAUUGGUGUGCAUUUUGCACUCUAAAAACUGAAACAAGGAUAGCAACAACUGCAGUUGUGAACUGCAUAGUUUUUAGAUCAACUGGCCUUGAUGUCAAGUGUGAUCAUCAGCUAUGACUGGAAACAUCUGAAGCGGCACAAUUUAAUCUGAAGUAAGGGAAGAGACUAUCGAUGCUAACAGAAGCUGCUUUCCAAACUCGGCUGUCAUGUUCGAGCUGUUUAAACAUGAAAUGAAGGCUGCCGUAGAGCCACAGGAAAAGAUCUUUAAAAGAAAGAUGAUGCAUCAGAGGCUGUUAACUCUGAAGAGAUCCAGAGACUACCAGCCAGCAAAGAUCAGCGAGAGAGACAGCAGCAACCAGCAGGGGUGAGAGACAGCAUCCAGCAGAAGACAAACAAGAAUGGUGGUGGCUGACUCCCAGCAUCCAGUUCUCUGGCAGCUUCUCUUGGCAUCACAGCUAGUAGCACAACUGUACUUUGCAGAUCUCCUGAUUUCUAUCUGAGUGGAUUAAAAGAACCCUCAACUGCUUGGAAGCACAGUGAUGCUUUAAAUCUCUUGGUCUUGACAUCUGCUUGAGCUUCAAAACAUCUGAAUAUUCCUCUAUGCCUGGGAUAUAUUUACAUGAGCAAAUGGCCUUAUUUGGGAAAGAUUGGGGGAAUUUUUGCUUUAUACAUUUGUCAUGAUGUUUCAGGGGCCUUUUGAAGAUAUGGCUUCUCUUAUAGCUAAUGAUCUGCAGUCCAAAAUCAAGUUCAGCUCCUGCCUUUUUAAUGGAUAGUUGCCUUUGGAGCUACCAUCCCUUUGCUAUCCUUCACUUCUCUUUAGUAUAUAGAUUGCUAUCCCCUUUCGUCUGCCUGUGCUUCUUGCUGUGAGGGAUGCCGGGUUCUAUGAACCAUCUCCACAGCCCCUCUAACCUUCAUUCCUGCCUUUGAUCUACUUGUUUCUUAUAGUUAAGAGUCUCUGCUGGACUCACACAGAUAUUCAUUCAUUUAAGAUGUGCUUACUGAUCACUGAGGUGCACUUGUGCAAGUUUGCUACCUCCCACUCAGACUUACAACUCACAUUGGAACUUACCACGCAGGGACAUGAGUGGCAGCGAGCCCUGACGGUGGCUUCCACUGUACGUUGCUACAUUUCUUGCUGAUUGUGCUGUACCCUACAGUAGGGUAGAUUUAUAUUCUGGUAUAUGUUACAGCACUGCCUCUGAAAGUUAUGCAAAUAAAAGCAAAGUCAUCAAGUUGGA